AAUUGAAUGUCUCAGGCAAUGAUUGUCCAAACGCAAUUCUUGUCUAAACGGUACGAAAUCAAGAAUUGUGUGGGGACAUCAGCGCUCGAGGUGCGAUUCAAC